rnacentral:misc_RNA from 1 species
AAAGUCGUAACAAGGUCUCCGUUGGUGAACCAGCGGAGGGAUCAUUACAAGAAGCCGAAAGGCUACUUCAAACCAUCGCGAACUCGUCCAAGUUGCUUCGGCGGCGCGGCACCCCUUAACGGGGGCGCCGCAGCCCUGCCUCUCCGGAGGUUCGGGGCGCCCGCCGGAGGUACGAAACUCUGUAUUAUAGUGGCAUCUCUGAGUAUAAAACAAAUAAGUUAAAACUUUCAACAACGGAUCUCUUGGUUCUG